UACGUAGGGGGCAAGCGUUGUCCGGAAUCAUUGGGCGUAAAGAGCGUGUAGGCGGCCCGGUAAGUCCGCUGUGAAAGUCGGGGGCUCAACCCUCGAAUGCCGGUGGAUACUGUCGGGCUAGAGUGCGGAAGAGGCGAGUGGAAUUCCUGGGUGUAGCGGUGAAAUGCGCAGAUAUCAGGAGGAACACCAAUUGCGAAGGCAGCUCGCUGGGACGUAACUGACGCUGGAGACGCGAAAGCCGUGGGGAGCAAACAGG
rnacentral:rRNA from 1 species